AGCCUGAUCCAGCCAUGCCGCGUGGGUGAAGAAGGCCUUCGGGUUGUAAAGCUCUUUUGUUGGGGAAGAAACGGGCCUUUCUAAUACAGGGGUGUAAUGACGGUACCUGAAGAAUAAGCACCGGCUAACUACGUGCCAGCAGCCGCGGUAAUACGUAGGGUGCAAGCGUUAAUCGGAAUUACUGGGCGUAAAGCGUGCGCAGGCGGUUUUGUAAGUCUGUUGUGAAAUCCCCGGGCUCAACCUGGGAAUGGCAAUGGAUACUGCACGGCUAGAGUGUGGCAGAGGGGGGUAGAAUUCCACGUGUAGCAGUGAAAUGCGUAGAUAUGUGGAGGAACAUCCAUGGCGAAGGCAGCCCCCUGGGUCAAAACUGACGCUCAUGCACGAAAGCGUGGGGAGCAAACAGGAUUAGAUACCCUGGUAGUCCACGCCCUAAACGAUGUCUACUAGUUGUCGGGUCUUAUUUGACUUGGUAACGCAGCUAACGCGUGAAGUAGUACCGCCUGGGGAGUACGGUCGCAAGAUAAUGACUCAAAGGAAUUGACGGGGACCCGCACAAGCGGUGGAUGAUGUGUAUUAAUUCUAUGC
rnacentral:rRNA from 1 species